GAGAUAUGGCUGAGUGGUCGAAAGCGCUCCCCUGCUAAGGGAGUAGUCGGUGAAAGCUGGCUCGAGGGUUCAAAUCCCUCUGUCUCC
rnacentral:tRNA from 1 species